rnacentral:rRNA from 1 species
UACGGAGGAUUCAAGCGUUAUCCGGAUUUAUUGGGUUUAAAAGGGUGCGCAGGCGGAAGAUUAAGUCGGCGGUGAAAUUUUGCAGCUCAACUGUAAAAGUGCCUUCGAAACUGGUUUCCUUGAGUGUGGAUGAAGUAGGCGGAAUUUGUGGUGUAGCGGUGAAAUGCAUAGAUAUCACGAGGAACUCCGAUUGCGCAGGCAGCUUACUAAACCAUAACUGACGCUCAGGCACGAAGGCGUGGGGAUCAAACAGGAUUAGAUACCCGGGUAGU